rnacentral:rRNA from 1 species
GACGAACGCUGGCGGCGUGCUUAACACAUGCAAGUCGAACGGAAAGGCCCUGCUUGCAGGGUACUCGAGUGGCGAACGGGUGAGUAACACGUGGGUGAUCUGCCCUGCACUUCGGGAUAAGCUUGGGAAACUGGGUCUAAUACCGGAUAGGAACCAUCUUUAGUGUGGUGGUUGGAAAGUUUUUUCGGUGUAGGAUGAGCUCGCGGCCUAUCAACUUGUUGGUGGGGUAAUGGCCUACCAAGGCGGCGACGGGUAGCCGGCCUGAGAGGGUGUACGGCCACAUUGGGACUGAGAUACGGCCCAGACUCCUACGGGAGGCAGCAGUGGGGAAUAUUGCACAAUGGGCGCAAGCCUGAUGCAGCGACGCCGCGUGGGGGAUGAAGGCCUUCGGGUUGUAAACUCCUUUCGCUAGGGACGAAGCUUUGUUGUGACGGUACCUAGAUAAGAAGCACCGGCUAACUACGUG